rnacentral:rRNA from 1 species
UAGUGGAAGCGUCUGGAAAGGCGUGCGAUACAGGGUGACAGCCCCGUACACAAAAAUGCACAUAUUGUGAGCUCGAUGAGUAGGGCGGGACACGUGGUAUCCUGUCUGAAUAUGGGGGGACCAUCCUCCAAGGCUAAAUACUCCUGACUGACCGAUAGUGAACCAGUACCGUGAGGGAAAGGCGAAAAGAACCCCGGCGAGGGGAGUGAAAAAGAACCUGAAACCGUGUACGUACAAGCAGUGGGAGCCUCUUAAUGGGGUGACUGCGUACCUUUUGUAUAAUGGGUCAGCGACUUAUAUUCUGUAGCAAGGUUAACCGAAUAGGGGAGCCGAAGGGAAACCGAGUCUUAACUGGGCGUUAAGUUGCAGGGUAUAGACCCGAAACCCGGUGAUCUAGCCAUGGGCAGGUUGAAGGUUGGGUAACACUAACUGGAGGACCGAACCGACUAAUGUUGAAAAAUUAGCGGAUGACUUGUGGCUGGGGGUGAAAGGCCAAUCAAACCGGGAGAUAGCUGGUUCUCCCCGAAAGCUAUUUAGGUAGCGCCUCGUGAAUUCAUCUCCGGGGGUAGAGCACUGUUUCGGCAAGGGGGUCAUCCCGACUUACCAACCCGAUGCAAACUGCGAAUACCGGAGAAUGUUAUCACGGGAGACACACGGCGGGUGCUAACGUCCGUCGUGAAGAGGGAAACAACCCAGACCGCCAGCUAAGGUCCCAAAGUCAUGGUUAAGUGGGAAACGAUGUGGGAAGGCCCAGACAGCCAGGAUGUUGGCUUAGAAGCAGCCAUCAUUUAAAGAAAGCGUAAUAGCUCACUGGUCGAGUCGGCCUGCGCGGAAGAUGUAACGGGGCUAAACCAUGCACCGAAGCUGCGGCAGCGACACUAUGUGUUGUUGGGUAGGGGAGCGUUCUGUAAGCCUGUGAAGGUGGCCUGUGAGGGUUGCUGGAGGUAUCAGAAGUGCGAAUGCUGACAUAAGUAACGAUAAAGCGGGUGAAAAGCCCGCUCGCCGGAAGACCAAGGGUUCCUGUCCAACGUUAAUCGGGGCAGGGUGAGUCGACCCCUAAGGCGAGGCCGAAAGGCGUAGUCGAUGGGAAACAGGUUAAUAUUCCUGUACUUGGUGUUACUGCGAAGGGGGGACGGAGAAGGCUAUGUUGGCCGGGCGACGGUUGUCCCGGUUUAAGCGUGUAGGCUGGUUUUCCAGGCAAAUCCGGAAAACC